rnacentral:rRNA from 1 species
GACAGAGGUGCCAAGCGUUAGGCGGAAUCACUGGGCUUAAAGCGUGUGUAGGUGGAUUUGUAAGUACCUUGUGAAAGCCCAUGGCUCAACCAUGGAACUGCUCGGUAUACUGCGAAUCUUGAGCCACUUAGGGGCUACCGGAACAAAUGGUGGAGCGGUGAAAUGCGUAGAUAUUGGGAGGAACACCAGUGGCGAAGGCGGCUCACUGGACCGGAACUGACGCUGAGGCGCGAAAGCGUGGGGAGCAAACGGG